AGCAAAGCCUAUGUCCGUCUAAUAUCUCCCUUCAUUUAUGGAGGAUCUCUCUCCUACUGUCCGUCUCCCCCAUUUCUUCUUGGCAUUCUAAACCUUUCAUUUUUCUUUCUAAUUUCGCAUCGCAGCUCCAUCUCUGUCUUUGCCAGUAUGCAAAACCCACAUAUCCGACCCCAAACUUAAUUUUGAGCCGUCUUCAUCUCUGUCAAAAUCGCAGAGGAUCACCGAUUCUCUCUCCCAAAAUUUCCCAGUAAAGAUGAGCAAGGGACCUGGACUUUUAACCAUCGGCAAAAAAGCAAGAUCUUCUGACGAAUGACUACAGCUCCGAUCGGAAAUUCACCGUCUUGAUUGUGUCAGUUUGGAGUUGUUACUAUGUAUCAUCUCUUUUCUUUGUUUCAUAUUAUUAUAGACUUCGAUAUUUAUAUGCAUGCAUCUAAUAUUGACAUGGAUCUAAGCACAAAUCUCAGAAAACAGAGGUAUAAAUCUUUGUCUUUGACUUUUUUAUUCAAAUUGUUGUGCUUAUUGAGCUACAAAACAACCAAUGUCUGAUAUAUUUGUAUGUAUAGUUUGUGAAUUGGGCAUGAACAUUUAUUUGGGUAAGCUUGAAUUCUGCAUAUAAACUGUUUGUUUAGGUUAAUUUGUUGUCUGGAGCUGAAACUUUCCUUGCUGCUAUUUAUCUAUUUCUAUUGACCUUUCGCAUUAGCGAAAAUGAUAAAUGACAGUAUUCAUUUAAUUACCUUGCCAUGAUUUAGCUGUACCUCUAAAGACCUAUCUGCCUGAUGGAGAUAUUGAUUUGAUUGCUUUGGGUGUUGUGAAUGUUGAGGAGGCGCUGGCCAAUGACAUUUGCACUGUCCUUGAAAGGGAAUAUCAAAAUAUGGCUGCUGAGUUUAUGGUGAAAGAUGUCUAGUUGAUUCGGGCUAAGGUUAAGCUUGUAAAGUGCCUUGUACAAAAUAUUGGGGUCGAUAUUUCCUUCACACAGUUUGGAGGGCUAUGUACACUAUGCUUUCAUGUGUAGGUAGUCAUUCACACAGAGCUGAAUUGAAAAUGAAGUUCAAUUUCUCACAAAUGAAUUAAAUGAUUUACCAGAUUUCAUUCGUAUAAUCAGAUUCUUUUUGGGAAGCUCUGAGUUGUCUAAUGAAACUGGUAUUUCAAGUCUUCUAUUAAAAGUAUAUGCUGACUUAUGCCUUAUAAACGAUAACCUUGAAUGGUAUGCAA